rnacentral:rRNA from 1 species
AACGUAGGACGCAAGCGUUAUCCGGAGUUACUGGGCGUAAAGGGCGUGUAGGCGGCUUUUCAAGUUCGUCGUGAAAGACCCCGGCUAAACCGGGGGAGGUCGUCGGGGACCGCACCGCUUGAGGGCGGUAGGGGCCGGUGGAAUGCCUGGUGUAGCGGUGAAAUGCGUAGAGAUCAGGCAGAACACCUGGGGCGAAGGCGGCCGGCUGGGCCGUCCCUGACGCUGAGGCGCGAAGGCGUGGGGAGCGAACGGG